AUGUCACCCCCCCACCCCACCCCGUGGGCUCCCGCUGUCCUCCCCAGGCUGAGCUUGGCAGGGUGGGACCGCCGGGGGAUGGACAGACAGAGGGACAGGGGGACACGGACAGGGACACCCAGGGGGACACAGGGACAUGGACAGGGACACCCAGGGGGAUACAGGGACACGGACUGGGACAGGGACACCCAGAGGGACACCCAGAGGAACAGGGGGACAGACAGGGGAACAGAGGGACACCCAGGGGGACACAGGGACACGGACAGGGACACCCAGAGGGACAGAGGGGACACCCAAAGGGACAGGGGGACACGGACAGGAACAGAGGGACACACGCAGGGACAGGAGGACACCCAGAGGGACACGGGGACACCCAGAGGCACAGGGGGACACGGACAGGGACACCCCGGGGACACGGGGACACUCUGCACUCACCGGCGCGCUCCGGCCGCUCCCGGGCUCCGCUCCGAGCUCUUCCCGCUCCUGUUUUCCCCCGGCUCCUUCCCUCGCUUCCUCCUCCUCCUCCUCUUCCUCCUCCUCCUCCUCCUCGCCGCCGGCUCCCGCCUCCCUCAGGGCUUUUCCGCGGGGGCCGGGGCCGCUCUGCUCCGCUCGCUGUGGCGGGGGGGACACGUUACGUUACCGGCGGGGACAGCCCGGCGAGGGGGGGUGGCAGCGGCCCCGGGGCCCCUCCCGGAGCCUUUCCCGCUGCCAUCCCCCCACCCCGGCGCGCUCCGGUGCCGGCCCCGCCCCGGCCGCGGCGGGGGGAGAACGCGCCGUGCCCCCGAGUGCCCCCCCGGGAACCGGGAACGGCGCGGGGGGAGCGGGGCGGGGCGGGGGGAGCGGGCUCGGGGGUGCGCACGGGGAGCGGGGAUCGGUAGGGCCGCGUUUCCCUCGCCGGUACCGGCAUCCUCCAGCCCCGUUACCGGCAGCACUCAGCCCCGGUACAUCCCCGGUGCAUCCCCGGUACAUCCUCGGUACAUCCCCCAUCCCCGGUACCGGCAAUCCCCAGACCCGGUACGGCAGCACUCAGCCCCGGUACCGGCAUCUCCCAUCCCCAGAACCGGCAACUCCCAGCCCCGGUACCGGCAAUCCCCAUCCCCGGUACCGGCAAUCUCCAGCCCCGGUACCGGCAUCUCUCAGCCCCGGUACAUGCCCGGUACAUCCCCUAUCCGCGGUACCGGCAAUCCCCAGCCCCGGUACCGCCAUCCCCCAGCCCCGGUACCGGCAUCUCUCAGCCCCGGUACCGGUACAUCCUCGGUGCAUCCCUCAGCCCGGGUACCGGCAAUCCCCAGCCCCGGUACCGGCCAUCCCCAGCCCCGGUACCGGCAAUCCCCAGCCCCGGUACCGGCAAUCCCCAGCCCCGGUCCCCGCGUCCUCCGGGGCUCCGGGGAUGGAGGGUGCCGGUAUCCGCAGCUUCCAGCCGGGCUCUCCGAAUCUCUCAGCCCCGGCUCCCGAAUUCUCAAUUCCCGGUACCCGAAUCCUCCAUUCCCCGGUCCCGAAUCCUCCAUCCUCGAAUCCUCCAUCCCCGGUUUCCCGCAUCCUCCAGCCCAGGUUCCCGAAUUUUCAAUUCCCGGUUCCCGAAUCCUCCAUCCUCGGUUCCCGCAUCCUCCAGCCCCGCUCCCCGCAUCCCCCUGUGUCUGUCCCCGCCGCUCUCAUCCUCCAUCCCCG
ensembl:lncRNA